rnacentral:rRNA from 1 species
UACGAAGGGGCUAGCGUUGCUCGGAAUCACUGGGCGUAAAGCGCACGUAGGCGGCUUCUUAAGUCAGGGGUGAAAUCCUGGAGCUCAACUCCAGAACUGCCUUUGAUACUGACGGAGCUUGAGUCCGGGAGAGGUGAGUGGAACUGCGAGUGUAGAGGUGAAAUUCGUAGAUAUUCGCAAGAACACCAGUGGCGAAGGCGGCUCACUGGCCCGGUA